AUUGAACGCUGGCGGCAGGCCUAACACAUGCAAGUCGAACGAGUGGCGGACAGGAGAGUAAUGUCUGGAAAAAUGCCAGAUGGAGGGGGAUAACUACUGGAAACGAUAGCUAAUACCGCAUACCAUCGGGUGUGCCCAGAUUGGAUUAGCUAGUAGGUGGGGUAACGGCUCCCCGAGGCGACGAUCCCUCGCUGGUCUGAGAGGAUGACCAGCCACAGUGGAAUGUAGACACGGUCCAGACUUCGACGGGAGGCAGCAGUGGGGAAUAUUGCACAAUGGGCGCAAGCCUGAUGCAGCCAUGCCGCGUGUAUGAAGAAGGCCUUCGGGUUGUAAAGCACUUUCAGCGAGGAGGCGUUACUCGCAGAAGAAGCACCGGCUAACUCCGUGCCAGCAGCCGCGGUAAUUC
rnacentral:rRNA from 1 species